CCGGGAGAGACCUCGUAACGGAACUGGGACGCCAGCGCUGCAUUGUGGGAGCUUUUAAAGCGGCGGGGAGCUCGGCGCGACCCUCGGGCCCACCGGGCCACGCUCGCCCGGCCCGCGACGCCCCCCCGCUGUCGCCUGGCCCGCGACGCACCGAGGCCUGAGGACCCGAAAGCCGGGCGCGGGGAGAUGACCGGUGGCUCGUGACGGUCCCACGGGCAAAAUCUUCCAUCGCCCGGGGCUGAGACUUGUCAAACUGCCCUCUACGGUCACCCGGAAAGUAGGAGGCUUUUUCUGCAGAGGGAAAAAAAUCAAAAAGAGCCGUUCCAUCCCCCCUCCAAGGACUGGGUUUGAAUUGCUUUUCAUCUGCAGUGGCUGUGAUUCAGCGUCCCUCUUAGCAGCAGGCACUGACAGAGGCAGGAGAGGAAAAAAGAAAGAAAGAAAGAGAAAACACAGCAAAUGAAUCAAACGGACUUACUCCACACCUCAUUAGUUCCUUGACCUGCAGGUGGACUGAGAAGAGAGCCAUGCAGGUAGCAGGCAAGAGUGUGGUUAUCGUUGGACCAGGAUUCAGGAUCUGACCGAGUAGCUGACUCUUAAUCCAGUUUGUGUUGAUCACCAGGAGGAUCUGGACCUCAGUGUUAUCACAUCUAAAGGUGAUAUGCCAACUCCACCUUUGCCUUCCACCAUGUUUGGAAGCUCCCUGAGGCCUCACCAGGAGCAGAUGCUCGUCCCAUGCUUCCUAUAAGCCUGCAGAACUGUGAGCCAUAAUAAACUGUGAAUUAUAAAUUGCCUUUAUAGCAAUGCAAAUGGACCAGUACAGAUGGGAUGCUGGGAAGACAGUUGUUCCACCUUCAGUAAAGUCCAUGGAACACAGUUGUGACUAUAUUCUAGGCCAGCCAAGAUGCUUGUACUCAGAAAGGAGUGAUCUCAGGACCAUAAGAAAGUGAAAAAAUAAAAAUAAGAAAACAAAGAAGGGAUUGUCAAUGAAUCAGAAUUCAUCAAGGUCAAAGUCUUAGGAAAUUCCUUCAUGAGGAAGUCUAG
rnacentral:lncRNA from 1 species